rnacentral:rRNA from 1 species
CAAUAGCGUAUAUUAAAGUUGUUGCAGUUAAAAAGCUCGUAGUUGAAUUUUUGCUUGCCGCCGAUGUCGGAACUUCCGUACGUUCGGCGGCGUGCAUCCUUGGGUGGAACCUGUGUGGCAUUAGGUUGUCGUGCAGGGGAUGCUCAUCGUUUACUGUGAAAAAAUUAGAGUGUUCAAAGCAGGCUUACGCCGUUGAAUAUAUUAGCAUGGAAUAAUAAGAUAGGACCUUGGUACUAUUUUGUUGGUUUGCGCACCGAGGUAAUGAUUAACAGGGACAGUUGGGGGUAUUCGUAUUCCAUUGUCAGAGGUGAAAUUCUUGGACUUCUGGAAGACGAACUACUGCGAAAGCAUUUACCAAGGAUGUUUUCAUUAA